GAUGAACGCUGGCGGCGUGCCUAAUACAUGCAAGUCGAGCGAACGGACGAGAAGCUUGCUUCUCUGAUGUUAGCGGCGGACGGGUGAGUAACACGUGGAUAACCUACCUAUAAGACUGGGAUAACUUCGGGAAACCGGAGCUAAUACCGGAUGAUAUUUUGAACCGCAUGGUUCAAAAGUGAAAGACGGUCUUGCUGUCACUUAUAGAUGGAUCCGCGCUGCAUUAGCUAGUUGGUAAGGUAACGGCUUACCAAGGCAACGAUGCAUAGCCGACCUGAGAGGGUGAUCGGCCACACUGGAACUGAGACACGGUCCAGACUCCUACGGGAAGCAGCAGUAGGGAAUCUUCCGCAAUGGGCGAAAGCCUGACGGAGCAACGCCGCGUGAGUGAUGAAGGUCUUCGGAUCGUAAAACUCUGUUAUUAGGGAAGAGCAUAUGUGUAAGUAACUGUGCACAUCUUGACGGUACCUAAUCAGAAAGCCACGGCUAACUACGUG
rnacentral:rRNA from 1 species